rnacentral:lncRNA from 1 species
AUGGCUGCAGACCUAAAAGAAGGAAGCAAGGCACGCACUCAGGGCGGACUCCUGUCAUGGCGUUGUCUCUGCCCCUCAAAUUUUGAUAAUUCUGGUUACCUACCCUCGUCUUCAGAGUACCAUGAAGCUCUCACUGUCUGCCUCGGCUGUUUCCUUGAGGGAAUAAACCAAGCCAUCUUCCCCUACGACUAUCUCAAGGGAGGAUCUAGUCUGAAAAUUCAGGCAAGUUCUACCCGAACUGCUACUUGCACCAGUAAAACAGUAUGCUAUCCUUGCAAGUAAAGGUAAAGAUCAUCAAUCAAUCUUUCCUCCAAAUUACACAAUCCUCUGAGUAAAAUUAAUAAUUACAGACGCAAUUAUGCUCUAUUAGCAUGAGUAAAAUGUUUAUGCAAAGAACCUUAGCUAAGUGAAUGCAAAUGAUGGUAGAUCACAGGCACACACACUUUACUCUGCCGUUUCCUCUGCCAGGAAGGAAACGUUCUAAGAUCUUUGCCUGCUUUCUUGCUUCUCAUUAUGGAGGGUUCGGCUCUGAUGCCAUCUACUGAGAAUGGUCAUUCUUAACUAUCCCAUUUCAUGAAGUACCCCAAACUCCCUGUUCCAUAUUACCUUGUUUGAUUUUUAUAGCACUUUGAUCUUUAGUUACUGUUCUUUUGUUAACUGGCUGGCUGUCUCUCCCAUUAGCCUGUAAGCACCAUGAGAGUUGGGGACUUCUCUGAUUCACCACGCCAUUUCCAAUGCCCAGAAUCAUGCUCGGUGUACAGUAGGAAUGCAUGAAUAUCCAAUUGGUGAACAGAUGAACAAAUGAAAUGCUCAUGUUUUUGUUGGAAAAGAUUACAUAGGAAAGGAUGAACAAUUGCAAACCAAGCUCAAGACUGGUUUUACUUAGAAGUACUUGUAGUUUACCAGACAGUAUUUAUUAUACACUUGAAUUUUUAGACCUUUAUUAAUCUACCUGAAAUUAUACAUAAAAUAGCCAUCUUAUGUAAGUGUAGAGAAUAUGCCAAAAAAAAAAAAACAACCCACAAUAAUGGCAAAUGCACAGUAUUACAGUGAAGUAAAAUGGCUUCUCCAUGUGACAACUGACUCAAAGUUAAAUUUCUAAGUAAUUAGAAUCAUUAUGUUUCUCUUUAAUCAAUUUCUAGAUUGAGACACACUAACUCUAUCCACACUGUAAACUCAUGAAACAUAGCAGUUAUUAAUUACAGUAGCAAUAAAAGUUCAUAAUCUAGCUCCCUCA